rnacentral:tRNA from 1 species
GAUUCCGUAGUGUAGCGGUUAUCACGUUCGCCUAACACGCGAAAGGUCCCCGGUUCGAACCCGGGCGGAAUCA